AGUGAACGCUGGCGGUAGGCCUAACACAUGCAAGUCGAACGGCAGCACAGUAAGAGCUUGCUCUUACGGGUGGCGAGUGGCGGACGGGUGAGGAAUACAUCGGAAUCUACUUUUUCGUGGGGGAUAACGUGGGGAAACUUACGCUAAUACCGCAUACGACCUACGGGUGAAAGCAGGGGAUCUUCGGACCUUGCGCGAUUGAAUGAGCCGAUGUCGGAUUAGCUAGUUGGCGGGGUAAAGGCCCACCAAGGCGACGAUCCGUAGCUGGUCUGAGAGGAUGAUCAGCAACACUGGAACUGAGACACGGUCCAGACUCCUACGGGAGGCAGCAGUGGGGAAUAUUGGACAAUGGGCGCAAGCCUGAUCCAGCCAUACCGCGUGGGUGAAGAAGGCCUUCGGGUUGUAAAGCCCUUUUGUUGGGAAAGAAAAGCAGCAGGUUAAUACCCCGCUGUUCUGACGGUACCCAAAGAAUAAGCACCGGCUAACUUCGUG
rnacentral:rRNA from 1 species